rnacentral:rRNA from 1 species
GACGAACGCUGGCGGCGUGCUUAACACAUGCAAGUCGAACGAAGAGCGAUGGACGCUUGCUUCUAUCAAUCUUAGUGGCGAACGGGUGAGUAACGCGUAAUCAACCUGCCCUUCAGAGGGGGACAACAGUUGGAAACGACUGCUAAUACCGCAUACGAUCUAAUCUCGGCAUCGAGGAUAGAUGAAAGGUGGCCUCUACAUGUAAGCUAUCACUGAAGGAGGGGAUUGCGUCUGAUUAGCUAGUUGGAGGGGUAACGGCCCACCAAGGCGAUGAUCAGUAGCCGGUCUGAGAGGAUGAACGGCCACAUUGGGACUGAGACACGGCCCAGACUCCUACGGGAGGCAGCAGUGGGGAAUCUUCCGCAAUGGACGAAAGUCUGACGGAGCAACGCCGCGUGAGUGAUGACGGCCUUCGGGUUGUAAAGCGCUGUUAAUCGGGACGAAAGGCCUUCUUGCGAAUAGUGAGAAGGAUUGACGGUACCGGAAUAGAAAGCCACGGCUAACUACGUG